UUGAUCAUGGCUCAGGAUGAACGCAGGCGGUAUGCUUUAUACAUGCAAGUCGUACGAGAGUUUUUAACUCAAGUGGCGGACGGGUGAGUAACACGCAAGAAUUUGCCUUUAGGAGGGGGAUAACAACUGGAAACGGUUGCUAAUACCCCAUAUGCUUUUGAGUGAAAUGGAUUUUUCCGCCUAAAGAGAAGCUUGCGGCUGAUUAGCUUGUUGGUAAGGUAAUGGCUUACCAAGGCGACGAUCAGUAUCUGGUUUGAGAGGACGAUCAGACACACUGGAACUGAGACACGGUCCAGACUCCUACGGGAGGCAGCAGUAGGGAAUUUUCCGCAAUGGGCGAAAGCCUGACGGAGCAAUACCGCGUGAGGGAUGACGGCCUAUGGGUUGUAAACCUCUUUUUUCAGGGAGGAACAAAAUGACGUGUACCUGAAGAAUAAGCAUCGGCUAACUCCGUGCCAGCAGCCGCGGUAAGACGGGAGGAUGCAAGUGUUAUCCCGAAAUCACUGGGCGUAAAGCGUCUGUAGGUGG
rnacentral:rRNA from 1 species